AUGCCUUUCUCCUUCUUUUUGGUGACGUCGGAUGCCCGCCUUUGGUGCUCAGAAGUGGAUUCUCCUUCAAAGAGGGCUUUCCCCAAGAAAGGGACAUGGUUGUAUUGGAUUUCUAGUCCUAUAGGGGAAGAGCAUAUAGGAUCACACCUACACAUAAGUUCGUUCGUUGGGUUAGUGGCCACCCGCACUCCAACCUAUCUAUAUGGCAACAAAGCGGAUGACAAGGCCAAAGUAGCUGACUCAUAUCGCUAA
rnacentral:rRNA from 1 species